GAGGAUUUAAGGGUUUUGUUCCCAGCGGGAAGGUGAGAGGCAAAAGGAUGCUCUGAAAUGACUGUCCCCCUCAUGGCAGCAGGUGGGCAGAUCAAAGCUGCUCAGUGCCUGCCCCGUGGAGGCUUCGGUUGGCUGCCUGGGAGGAGCUGGGUCACCAGGGCCAUCAGCUGAGCUUGGUGGUUUGAGGAGGAGAGGCCUGGGCACAUUCAACGGCCAGAAUGGCGGCCCACAGGCUGGGCACACAAGGCCCCUGAGCAGACUGAGGGGAGCUGCCACGGCUCCUGGCUUGUGCCCGGCACAUGCUGGCUCGAGGACAGCCAGCCCCAGAGGCCCAGAAUUACUGAGUCCAAUCCAAGCCCAGCCCCGGCACUAGAACCUUGCUCCAGCUUCUUUUUCUGGCCCAGUUAGUGCCUACCCCCUUCCAGUUCCAGCUGCAAACAGGAGCCAUGACUCCCUUUCAGGGAAGGCUGGGCCUCUUUCCCUGCCCCCUGUGCCCCCUCCCUCCAGCCUCCCUAACUGGAAACACUGGGACUUAACCAUGGAAACCCUAGGGAGGCCCCGGGGCUCCAGACAGCCGCCUUUGCUGCCCAGAGGUGAGGCCUUGCCUAAAGCUCCAGGCCUCUGACCCCAUGGGCAGUGGGGCACCCUGUAGACAUCCCUGCCUGUAGCUCUUCUUAGUGCCUAGAAGUGGCCCCCACUCCGACCCUGAAAACUCCGGAAUGCUAAGGCUGGUGGGCGAUCAGAGCUCUCACCCUCUGCUUGAACUUUUUCCAAAUAAAUUAACGUUCUAGAUCUCUGACAUUUGUCUCUUUAAGCACAAAUAUUAAUUUUUAAAAAUUCUAAUAAUUUUUUUUGCUUGAGCACACUUCUGGAACGUAUUAAAACUUAUCUGGCCCCUGAACACAGUAUACGAAGCAUAACCUUCUCUUCCCUUGAUGACCUGGGAUUGCUCUCAAGAAUACCCAUUACUGGCCUGAGCUGUCACUGCCUCCUCCCGAGCUCCCAGUAGGAUGUCCAGACACUGCCUCUGGUCAGCCCUGUCUUGGCCCUCAGGGACCUCUGGCUGGCUUGGAGAGUGCUUUUGUGUGGCGUUCCCAGCCCAGUGGGUUCAUCUGGGCUGGAACCAGAGGCUCCUAGUGGAGGAGGGAAGGAUGCAGGCACAGCAGAAGCAUUCUAUCAUUUGAAUGCCUGGGGUCUGCCUCCGCCUCUCUUUAAACAAAGACGGCAAUGUGUGCAGGACUGUGUGGACUAGAGGUCUGGCGUGCUGUGCUCUGAGACCUCCUGUCUGUGUUUCCUUCCUCCUUCGCUGGCAGCUGCUGCCGGUCAGGGUCACAGAACUCACUUGUCACCUGUGGCCCUAUUUUAUCCAUGGGGGCCUGGGAGGAGCUGGAACAUGGACGGGGGCAGCUCCUACCCAACAAAGGAAGGGCCUCCUGGCCAUGGUGCCUCUGUUCUGGAUGAGCGAGGCUGCAGCAGUCUCGGUGGGCUCGUGGUGUGUAGCGGCAGGGACCCUAUGAGGAGCCUGCGUGAACCAGGAGCCAUCCCUAGGACAACACUAACUUCUAUGGCCUCGUCUGUAUUUUCCAGUCUGAGUGUCUAAAAUCUGCUAAACAUUCCUAGUUUGAUUGGCAAUGAUCAUGGCAAACAUGUAAGUGGCCAAAGAUAACAAAGAGAAUUAUAGAGCCAUGGAAGGUCAGGCUACAAGUGACCUUAGUGACCUUUUAGUCCAGCCUCUCGCUCAGAUGGGGCAACCGAGACACAGGCAAGGGAAUGAUUUGUCAAAGGUCAGAGCAACAACAGAGGCAGAGCGAGGCCCAGGCCAGCCCGGAGCAGCCAUCCCCUGCCAGGUCUACUUCACAGGACAGCAGCCUCCACUCAGAUCUGCCUGCCCUUGCCGUAGCCCUGUGCAUUUUAAUUGCUUACUCCUUUUCUUAUCAUGCCCUGGGGUAAUUUUACAAAGGGCACAACUACGACAUUCAAACAAAACACAUCUAUUCUCAGGUUAUUUUUCCUGAUGUAAAUCCUUAUGAUUAAAGAGGAAAAUACAACUGUAGGUAAGACAGGCCAAAAAAAAGAAAAAGAAAAAAGAAAUAUUUCAAGCUUGGCCAUCCCCAACAGACCUGAGUCCUGCUAGAAUUUUAGUAACCAAGCCAGUGGAGCCAGCUAGAGAGGGCUGAAAAGGGAGAGACCUAGAAGGGGCUUGGACCACACUGCAGCCUGGCUUCUUCUAUCUGGAAGUGUCCGUGGUGCUUGGAGAGACAGAUGCAGGGUGCGGUUGGGAACCCCACAGGUCCCCCAUAAGAAUGUGGAGUGGCCACCAGCAUCAUGGGAAUAAGACACACACUGCAUCUAAAGAGAUCAGCAAAGUGGCCCAGUGGUGGUUUGAAUCCCUGCUGACCGCCUGCGCCUAGUGACAGGUGCUGGAAGGGCCAAACACGAGGGGGAUGAAUUGGUCAUAUAGGUAGAUUUGCAGGAGUUUUAUUUCAUGCGGGUCAGAGGAUGAAGGGGCACAGGGGCCAGAGCCGUCUCUGCCCUCUGCCAGGCCCUGUGCAAGUGUCCUCCCCCUUAGGGGCCAGAAAAUCUGGGGCCCCCCAAAAGGUGGGUGGUAGGUGUGGGGAGAGCUGCUGAAACACCCGACUCCCUCCCGGGAGAACCGCCCACUAGUGAGCCUCCGAGCUGCACGGCAGCGUCUCAGGAACACACUGUUCUCUUUGUUGGGGCAGAAAUAUGUUCGAUGCUGAUUAUGCAGACCGAUGAGUAGGCCUCUCUCUCGCUCUCUCUCCCUCUAAUCUGGAGUCCUCCUGCUCGGCGGGCACAAUUGCAUGCAAGCGAUCCCGGAAAAAGCACAGAAUGAAUUUUUUUGCCAUCCAUUGUUCUGGAGGCAUUGCGAAUGUCUGACAUUCCAGGUGUAGAGUUGUGUAGCUGACUAGACUUCAGAAAACCUCCCGGUCUGAGCCAGGAGCACUACAACCUGUGAAGAAUGUGCACCCGGCCUGGCUACACAGCAACAGCACCCGAUGGGCCCAGGAGCCAGCAGGAGACCUUUCUUGGAGGAAGGAGUCUUUUUUCUUUGGUUUGAAAAUGCAGGUGAUGUUUUAAAAUUAAAAUUAAAUUAAGAUGCAUGUUAAAAACAAA
rnacentral:lncRNA from 1 species